GUACAUAAUUGCAUUGAGUAACAGAGUAUCGUAUAAAUUCCUAUUUUCUGCAUUAAAUCAACACAAGCCAAUGUACAGAUCAUGCUUUGGAUUUCAGGUUUUAUUGCCAUUCAUUAACAUUAUACCUUUGCGUGGUCAUUGAAACGGAAGUCAUCGUCUCUCCAAUAAUGCUAAAUGGCAUUGCAAAACUGGUCGCAUGUGAUACAAGCGCCUAAUUGAUCAAGUUUGGAUGUAGUUCCAUGGAUUUUAUGACACUACCGGCAAGGCACCUUCCGUGGUCAUUGGAAAUCAGCAAGGUUUCCUUUCAGACGUAAACCUUUGUAUCUUUCCGCUUGAACAAUGACGUCCUGAAAACAUGAAGACAAGAAAUAUCUGUCUAUUUCAAGAGAAGCUAAAUGACAGUAAUUGGACGCGAAUGUCAAAGACAGGAGAACACGCGAGCUGAGAACGAGGCGCCCUCCGGAACAGAAGGCUUUACAAGUUAACCUCUUCAAAUUCCCCCCAAAAAAGGAUUCUUAACCUAACAAGUGGGCGACAAUAGCACAGCUGUUUGACGUUACCUGUCAUAAGGACGUCGUUUUUAAGCCUUUCAAUUGGACGAGAAUAAAGAACCCACGGACAAUUUUGGUAUAAAAACAUCAAUUAUUUCCGACCUUAUCAGUACGUCCGAAGUGACCCUGAGGAUGAUAAAAAAAUUUCCAUAUCUUCAAAGUAACCGGCCGAAUCCAAAGGGAAAUAAAGUGGCAAGAAGUAUUUUCGCCUGAAGCUGUAGGCUGUUCGAACCUAGAUGCCUACUGGAUGAAUGGCGUGACUGUCCAGACUUGCAACAUAACGGACACGCCAGUAACCGUGCCAGAACAUGUGCCAGUUACUAUACUUGUACUAUCAGAUUUACUCGAGGAUUCCUGCGUUUGCAGAUUACAACGAUAAGAUUAUAUACAUUAUAUAUAAAGAGUUUAUUACGGAAGACGAUAUUGGAUUAAUUUCUGGAAAGAUAUAUGAAAACACACGAACUCCGCUAUGUAAUAUUGAGCACGUCGAUGUGUGGGCAUUCUUCAAACUGAUAAACAAAUCUUUUUUACAAAGAUGGUGCAGUCUCAUAAAAAUAAUGAAAAAGGUCAUCAAGAAAUUAUUUCUAUUACGAGUGUCUGGCAUACUGUUACAAAAUUGAUACUCGGCUUUUUGUAAAGUAACGGUCUUGUUCUGCUUACUUUGUCAACGCAGUUGUUGGAUAAGAUAUCGAUACCUCACCUCGAAAUAACAUGUUUUGAGACACAG